rnacentral:rRNA from 1 species
GACGUAGGGCGCGAGCGUUGUCCGGAAUUAUUGGGCGUAAAGAGCUCGUAGGCGGUUUGUCGCGUCUGCCGUGAAAGUCCGGGGCUCAACUCCGGAUCUGCGGUGGGUACGGGCAGACUAGAGUGAUGUAGGGGAGACUGGAAUUCCUGGUGUAGCGGUGAAAUGCGCAGAUAUCAGGAGGAACACCGGUGGCGAAGGCGGGUCUCUGGGCCGAUACUGACGCUGAGAAGCGAAAGCAUGGGGGAGCGAACAGG